AGAGUUUGAUCCUGGCUCAGGAUGAACGCUAGCGGCAGGCUUAACACAUGCAAGUCGAGGGGUAUAUGUCUUCGGAUAUAGAGACCGGCGCACGGGUGCGUAACGCGUAUGCAAUCUACCUUUUACAGAGGGAUAGCCCAGAGAAAUUUGGAUUAAUACCUCAUAGUAUAGUGACUCGGCAUCGAGAUACUAUUAAAGUCACAACGGUAAAAGAUGAGCAUGCGUCCCAUUAGCUAGUUGGUAAGGUAACGGCUUACCAAGGCUACGAUGGGUAGGGGUCCUGAGAGGGAGAUCCCCCACACUGGUACUGAGACACGGACCAGACUCCUACGGGAGGCAGCAGUGAGGAAUAUUGGACAAUGGGCGCAAGCCUGAUCCAGCCAUGCCGCGUGCAGGAUGACGGUCCUAUGGAUUGUAAACUGCUUUUGUACGAGAAGAAACACUCCUACGUGUAGGAGCUUGACGGUAUCGUAAGAAUAAGGAUCGGCUAACUCCGUGCCAGCAGCCGCGGUAAUACGGAGGAUCCAAGCGUUAUCCGGAAUCAUUGGGUUUAAAGGGUCCGUAGGCGGUUUAGUAAGUCAGUGGUGAAAGCCCAUCGCUCAACGGUGGAACGGCCAUUGAUACUGCUAAACUUGAAUUAUUAGGAAGUAACUAGAAUAUGUAGUGUAGCGGUGAAAUGCUUAGAGAUUACAUGGAAUACCAAUUGCGAAGGCAGGUUACUACUAAUGGAUUGACGCUGAUGGACGAAAGCGUGGGUAGCGAACAGGAUUAGAUACCCUGGUAGUCCACGCCGUAAACGA
rnacentral:rRNA from 1 species